CAUAACCAAGGCAGACAUCCUAACCCAAGAUAUUGGAUAUACAAAGUUUUGCCUGUAAUCUCUGUCCUUGCAUAUGGACUAGCUCUAUCAAGCACCUGAUGUGAACAAAACGAUUACAUCCUUAGUUGAUAUCACAGUUACAAUAUUACUUAUAUAUAUUAUGUAGCAAGCAAAAAAAGUCAUCAACAUUUUUUAACCUCUUUCUCCAAAUUUCCUCUCUUGGUCCAAGUUGGCAAGUCUUUCAGGACCAUAUCUUUUCAGCAGAUAAGGUAUCUGCAGUGAGAUGAUGAGCCACCUGGGAGAAUUAACACCUGGAUUUACA
rnacentral:lncRNA from 1 species